ensembl:lncRNA
AAACAGAGGAGGCUAAACGACAUGCUAAUCUAGGCCUACAUAAAACGAAGUAGAAAAAAGUCAAACAAAAUAAUGCUCUGAGACGGAUAUUAAAUUGUCAGUAUGUAUGAGUUUAAAGAUGUUUCAAGUGGCUUGGAUAUUAUUUACUUGCACUACACUACCAACUGUAAGUAUUAUUUGCGAUGUUAAAACAGCUGUUCUCUGCAAUGUGGCAUCAAUAUCAGUGUAUAAAUACCCAAAAUGACAACUACAGAACAAACGGCACAGAUAAGGUUGUUCAUGUUGCAAUGUUUUUUUAAAUUUUUAUUUAAAAUUUUAAAUUUUCAUGGAAAUUAUGCGUUCAGCAUUGUAGUGUAUUUGGGAAUGCGUUUUCUUCAGCAGGCCCCCCAUGACCCGCCGAAACCAAGCAACGCAGACAACCAGAAGCCAACCAAAAAAAGAAAAGAAUGGUUCUUCAUCUGGCGGCAUUCUAGGGUACAUUUCGUUUAAGUAUUCAGGUGUCUGGUGCUUGGGUUCGUCGGUGCGUCAAGGUCGCUGCGGAUCAGCUGAUCUGCAGCUCCUGGCUCUGCUCACCAGGCCCGACUGACUGGGUCCUGCGAGGUCAUGCUGAGGGUCAGAACCUGCUAGGGGACAGACUCCCAACACCCCCUACCAGGACAUGGCCAGGGACCCAGUGACCUGCCCUUGGGAGCAGGCUUUUCAUCUCCUUUCCUCCUCCUCCUCUCCUCCUCUUCACUGUGGGACAAGACUUUGUUUUAGUCACAGUCAGUCCACAAGACAACUCUGACCCUACAAUGUAGUAUGUUUAGAGUUUCAUUUAAAUUCUAUACAUCUUAAUUGUCCAUAAAGGGUUAUUCAUCACCAACACAUGCAUGCUGUCUAUGUGAGAUACUUACAAGAAAAUACACAGCAAGCAGACAGAGUGGGAACUCCAUAGUGACCUGACAGAGGGUCACCAGUCCUGCAACACAAGGAAGGAUGCACAAAUUGAUGUGAGUGACGCAGGCGACAGUGAUACAUCCCCCUGGUACAGCAUUGAUGUUUAACAAAUGCUCUUACCAUGUAUUAUAGUCUUGUCAAAGUUAUCUUGUACUAUAGACAUUUGAAAAAACAGUAACCUAUUCCUGUAACUGUAAAUUUACAACAAAACAAACACAAUAUUUGGGUUUGAUGAGGUUGAAAUGUAUACAAACGGAAUGACAAAGCACGUAAAACAAAUCAGUCUCUAUACAAGCUCUUAAAUCUCGAUGGAAAGGAAACUCACCCAAAUCCUUAAGCGGAGGGCUCCGCAGGAUAAAAAGGACAGAUCAAACAUUGUAACCCCCUUUUAUACCUUGAAAAAACACUCCCCUCCUCCUCAUCUGUCAUUGCAAUGCUGAGAGCCACAGGAAAGCAGCUAACACCCUCAGCCUGCAUUGUGUGUGUGGGCGUGAUCGGGCUGUGGCUCUGUGCCACACAACGUUUCUUCUUUCCCUUCAGUUUUGUUUUCAGCAGUCUGUCCAAGUUUCGUUUCUCUGCU